AUACGUAGGUGGCAAGCGUUGUCCGGAAUUAUUGGGCGUAAAGGAUGCGUAGGCGGCCUUUUAAGUGGGAUGUGAAAUACCCGGGCUUAACCCGGGAAUGGCAUUCCAAACUGGAAGGCUAGAGUGCAGGAGAGGAAAGUGGAAUUCCCAGUGUAGCGGUGAAAUGCGUAGAGAUUGGGAGGAACACCAGUGGCGAAGGCGACUUUCUGGACUGUAACUGACGCUGAGGCAUGAAAGCGUGGGGAGCAAACAGGAUUAGAUACCCUGGUAGUCCACGCCGUAAACGAUGAGUACUAGGUGUAGGGGAGCCAUUCUCUGUGCCGCAGUUAACACAUUAAGUACUCCGCCUGGGAAGUACGGUCGCAAGACUAAAACUCAAAUGAAUUGACGGGG
rnacentral:rRNA from 1 species